rnacentral:lncRNA from 1 species
UUUUAAUAAGUAAUUUUGUAAUGAAUUUAUGUCCUUCUCAAUUGGGGUAGAGUUGUAGACUCUUUCCUUCUCUACAAUUUAUUAGACAAGUCAUUAUAAAGAUCGUUUUCCUGAUUGCCAUAGAUAGUUGUUUCUCAGUGUGCAUAGAAAGCUCUUGCUUGAAACUGAUCUCUAUUCUCAGAAAUUUUUCAUUUGCCAAGUAGUGGAGUUUGGUCAAGUAAUACUUUCAUGCCAGUCCUUCGUUUCUCUUAAUUACAACAUACAGCUACAAAAAAGUUAAGGCUGCAGAGAAAGGUAAAAUUGAGGUAAGCUUAUAGCUCGACCUCCUUUUCAGUGUUUUUCUUUGCAGGGAGGAGAAGGGGAAGAUUUAGUUAUUGCUGGCAGCACAGACCUGAAGAUCAAGCUUACACAAUCUGUUGAAAAGCAGUAGUAUAUGCUGUUACAGAGGACUGCCUAUCAAAAUGGCUUUAUUCACAGGUUGAGCCAUUUAGUGGAUUGAAUAAGCCCUGCCCAUGAAGCAUGAAGUGAAAAUUACAAUAUGCAGAUAUAGUGAACUACCUAACAAGCCUGAAAGAGGACUACUGCAUGAGUUCCUGCGUGAUGCAUUGGCAACAAUGCUGGAGUUCUUCAUUCUUUCUUCAUCUGCACAAGAAAGGCAGUCCUUUAGGUUCUUGAUCCUCAGGAAACCUUUUUCUGAUGACCUUUCUAGUUCUCCUAGUUGGAAGUUCCUAUAA